GUGGGGGGGAUGGGGGUUGCUGGAAUGGGUGGUGUAAGAUCUGGCUCCCAGAAGGGGCGCUCUGGUCCAUUAGCAGGUGGCGAGGCGACGGGGUAACUGGGCACUUAAUUGGAAGCUGUGUUGGACCCAGCAGAGGCCUGGCCAGGGCAGGGGAUGGCCUGGGGCAGGGAGGGGGAGGAGAGGGAGGGCAGAGGAGAGGGAGGGGGGAGGGCCGAGGGAAGGUGAGGAGGUGGGAGGUGACAGGAGCGGGAGGGGGCGGAGGGAGGGGAGGAGUGAAGGAAGGUGAAGAAAGGGGAGGGAAAAGGGGAGGGACGGAGAGGAGGACGACUCUCCUCCAGGCUCGGGGGAGGUGGAGGGAGGGGAGAGGGAGGGAGAGAGGAGGCGGGAAGGGGAGGCGGGCAGCGGAGGAGGGGCCUACGCGCCGCCCCGCGCCCUCCCUCACGCGCCGGCCUCCGAGCCCUCGCGCGCCGCAGCAUCCCCGCGCCGCCCGGCCGCGCCGCCCUCGGAGCCGGCCGCCUCCGCCGCCGCCACCACCGCCGCCGCCGCCGCCAUUCCUGCGCCCGCGCUCGCUGGGCCGGGCACCGCUGGGGCCGCGCGGCCAGGACCCGCCGAGCCAGACUCCGCCGUCCCAGACCAGCUGCAUCCCAGUCGCUGAAGUGUUAGAUGACGCCCGUCAUCAGAGCCACGAUUUCUGAAGACUGCUUCCUGGAAAUGAUCGGGAAGUUUCCAGAGGCACACGAUACAGAAUUUCUUCAGAAGGCUGUAACGAAGCACAUUGGCUAAGAACCGGGUGGCCUUUGGCAUCUGCAGUGCUGGGAGCAGCCUGACCUCACCCAGGUGCUGAGCGAUGCUGGGCCUCAGUGGUCACACAGCCCACCAGCUCCAGGCUGUGCUGUGGGUCAAGGCCCCAGGGCUCUGAGCAGCAACCACCACACCCGCUGUGGGCUCCCCUGCCCGCGGGCCUCCAUUGCCCAAGC
rnacentral:lncRNA from 1 species